rnacentral:rRNA from 1 species
UGGGGAAUAUUGCACAAUGGGCGCAAGCCUGAUGCAGCAACGCCGCGUGAGGGACGACGGCCUUCGGGUUGUAAACCUCUUUUAGUAGGGAAGAAACGAAAGUGACGGUACCUGCAGAAAAAGCACCGGCUAACUACGUGCCAGCAGCCGCGGUAAUACGUAGGGUGCAAGCGUUGUCCGGAAUUAUUGGGCGUAAAGAGCUCGUAGGCGGUUUGUCGCGUCUGCUGUGAAAACCCGAGGCUCAACCUCGGGCCUGCAGUGGGUACGGGCAGACUAGAGUGCGGUAGGGGAGAUUGGAAUUCCUGGUGUAGCGGUGGAAUGCGCAGAUAUCAGGAGGAACACCGAAUGGCGAAGGCAGAUCUCUGGGCCGUAACUGACGCUGAGGAGCGAAAGCAUGGG